rnacentral:tRNA from 4 species
GUCAACAUAGUUUAACAAAAACAUUAGGCUGUGGCUCUAAAAAUAGAAGAUAUCACCUUCUUGUUGACC